UACAGAGGUCUCAAGCGUUGUUCGGAUUCAUUGGGCGUAAAGGGUGCGUAGGGGGCGUCGUAAGUCAGGUGUGAAAUCUCGGAGCUUAACUCCGAAACUGCAUUUGAUACUGCGGUGCUUGAGGACUGGAGAGGAGACUGGAAUUUACGGUGUAGCAGUGAAAUGCGUAGAGAUCGUAAGGAAGACCAGUGGCGAAGGCGGGUCUCUGGACAGUUCCUGACACUGAGGCACGAAGGCCAGGGGAGCAAACGGG
rnacentral:rRNA from 1 species